AAAGGUUCGACUACUCAAAAACAGCAGCGGAGAGCAACUAGGAGCCAAGAGGCGCAUUGUAGCUGGAGCAGAAGAUUGAAGACUCAGCAAAGGCGAGGAGUUGUAGUGUCGACAAAGGCUUCAACGAGGACGUCGAAGGAAUAAGUGGGGGAGAAUGUCACGGACAAACUUCUAAACAAGAUGUUUGAUGUAAUGCUUAUGUAUGUCCGUGUCUUUUGG
rnacentral:lncRNA from 1 species